AAGUCGUAACAAGGUCUCCGUUGGUGAACCAGCGGAGGGAUCAUUACCGAGUUCUUACAGAACCCUACCCUUGUGUGCUAAGCUACCACUCAGCUUUUACACAAAGAGUCUCGGCUUCACCGCCGGGCUAUCAGUGUAAAAAACAAAACCUCUGUAUUAUUAUUAUUUCUCAGACUUUUUACAAAAGAGUCAAAACUUUCAACAACGGAUCUCUUGGUUCUGGCAUCGAUGAAGAACGCAGCGAAAUGCGAUACGUAAUGUGAAUUGCAGAAUUCAGUGAAUCAUCGAAUCUUUGAACGCACAUUGCGCCCGCUAGUAUUCUGGCGGGCAUGCCUGUCCGAGCGUCAUUUCAACCCAUCAAGCCUAGCGCUUGUGUUGGAGCCCUGCGGCCGCCGCAGCCUCCCAAAAUUAGUGGCGGGCUCGCUAUCACGCUGAGUGCAGUAGUAUUCUUCUCACUCCUGUUGUGUAGCGGGUAACCAGCCGUAAAACCUCUCCAAAAACAAGGUUGACCUCGGAUCAGGUAGGAAUACCCGCUGAACUUA
rnacentral:rRNA from 1 species